rnacentral:lncRNA from 1 species
CCUUGAUCCAGAUGAAGGUACCCCAAGCAGCUUGAGAUGUGAUGAUGGAGACCAGUUUGAGAAGACCCAUCAUCUCUAAUUUCCCUCUGAUUAUGAAGUAAUACAACAAAGCUACAGUAAGUGGACUGAUAUGGUGGUGAUUGCAAACUAUUUCUAACUUCUCUCAUUUGCUGGCUGGUGUCUUUAGAGGUAGCGUCGCAUUUCAUUGACAUAUGUUUUAUUUAGUCUAUUUCUAAAUUUAAAAAAGUAUAUAUCUGUUAUUUUCACACAUUAGGAAGUAAGAAAGGAUGUUAAAGAAAAGAUACCUAUUUCUGUUUUUAGUAAACAAAGCUUAUUGAAAAAGUCUUUUUUGUAUUUGCUAAGAAUGUUUUUCAUUAACAAUGGCUAUUUUCU